CUAUACUGUAUUUUUAUCGGGGUUUUUUCACUCCAUACUUGCUCCCAAAUGCUGAUACUGUGUGGGAAUGCAUAAAGGAGUCCGAGGUGUCUGUGCCGGCAGUUCAUCACCACCUUCGUUGGGCACAUUGGGUAUGGCGGGAGACCCGGGCUGCACUCUUCAGGACAGCCAAGCGGAACCGCCAGCUUGCUGACCGCUACCGGGUGCCAGCGCCGGACUAUCAGCCUGGUCAGGAAGCAUGUCUCCACCAGCCGGCUGUGUCCGCCAGUCGAGCCUCCGCCUCCGCCGCGCAUGAUCAAUGGUCAGCCAGCAUACACGGUGAAGGCUAUUCUCGGCCGAGAAGAAGGGGUAGGGGGCUGCAGUACUUGGUGGACUGGGAGGGAUAUGGACCUGAUGAGCGUUCCUGGGUCGCCCGCUCCUGUAUCCUGGACCCAUCCCUCAUCACAAACUUCCACUCUCUCCAUCCCAGUGUAUGCUGCCUUGCUGAGGCGGAGCUGGCGAUACCCGCACCUGCAAGCAAUCACCUGAUCUGCUCUUAAGCCAUGGGAAGCCAACACUCUGGCACCAGAUUGUUCUCAGCCCUUCUCCUGCAACCUGCGACAAACCUGCUUCCAGCAUUGUGCUUUUGUCUUGCUGUUUCCUACAAUGAUGUAGUGAGUAGUUUUGUUUAGCAUUCUGCCCAGUUGUUUCCUAGCAUGUACCGCCAGUUUUCCUGCCUGGUUCUCGGCAGCGUUUUCUGUUCCUUUUUUAGCUUAGCUUAGCUCCUCUUUUAACUUUUUAGUUAUUUUUGUUGUUGUACCUUUUUGCUUGUUAUCCUCUGUUCUGGACUCUCUUAUAUUUUUGUAUUUUUGCACUUGGAUUAUUGUUACCUCUAGAAGGACACCUUUUGUUAUUAAAGACUCUUUUUGUUUUUUGACCGUUUGUGUGUGAUUUCCACUCUGCAUUUCGGGGUUCAAACUGCCAACCACGCCAGUGCGUGACAUUAUAGUGAAUGAAAUGUGUUUUCAGUGGAAAAAACUCCCUAUUUUUGAAGAAUGUUUUUCUUUUUUUUUUUUACCAAAUAUCUGUGACUUUGCUGGGCCCUGAAUCCACUGUAAUCUCAUUGUUUGGCAUACUUAGAAUGGGUCCUAAAUGUAGACCUGCCCUGUUUUUGAGUGUAUUCCAGCCAUCUAGUGUCAGCGUGAUUAAUGCUCCAUCUUUCUCGUGUGGCACAAGGAAACUAAUGGCUUCGUCUGGACCCCAUGAAGUGAGGGCAUAGACAUAGAGAGUGUCAGGAAACAGAUUUAUUGCAAAUGCAGGGGUGCAAUCAAUGCCACGGCAGGGGCAUGUCAUGCAUUGCUUGCUGAAGCGUCGCCCUUGAUCUGCUCAUGCUGUUUGUGUGCCGCAGUCAGCAGUUUUGUUGUGGUGGCGGUGCAUACUCAAUUGAACUGAUCUCUGACGAUCCUUCAGGCUGAAGCUGGAUGUGCUCAGCAUUGAUAUUUCAUAAUAAUGCUGAUUUUGGUGACUUAAACAUCACCUUACUGUAUGCUGACUUCUAUGUCACAUAUACAGCGGUGG